GACGAACGCUGGCGGCGUGCUUAACACAUGCAAGUCGAACGGAAAGGCCUUUUUUGUGGGGUACGCUAGAGGGGCGAACGGGUGAGACACGCGUGAGUAACCCGCCCUUCACUGGGAGAUCUCUUCAAGAAACUGGGGCAAAUACCAGAUAGGAGCUUCUGGUGCGGUGGGGGGGGGGGAGAUUUGGGGGGGUUGGGAAGGGACUCGCGCCUUAUCAGCUUGUGGGUGGGGGAGUGGCUUACCAGGGCUUUGAGGGGUACCGGGCGUGUGGGGGUGACGGGCCACAUUGGACCUGAGAUCGGGCCCAGCCUCCUAGGGGGGGAAGCAGUGGGGAUAAUUGCACAAUGGGGGGAAGCCUGAUGAAGCAACGCGGCGUGCGGGAUGACGGCCUUCGGUUGGAAACCCGUUUUCGCCUGUGACGAAGCGUGAGUGACGGUAAUGGGUAAAGAAGCACCGGCUAACUACGUG
rnacentral:rRNA from 1 species